rnacentral:rRNA from 1 species
UACGUAGGUGGCAAGCGUUGUCCGGAUUUAUUGGGUUUAAAGGGUGCGUAGGCGGCCCUGUAAGUCAGUGCUGAAAUAUCCCAGCUUAACUGGGAGGGUGGCAUUGAUACUGCGGGGCUAGAGUACAGAUGAGGUAGGCGGAAUUGACGGUGUAGCGGUGAAAUGCUUAGAUAUCGUCAAGAACACCUAUAGCGAAGGCAGCUUGCUACACUACUAUUGACACUGAGGCACGAAAGCGUGGGGAUCAAACAGG